rnacentral:lncRNA from 1 species
GUCCGGCGGGCGCGGCGGAGUCCGCAGAGGCCGGGGAGGGGGGGACGCCUCUGGGCGGGGGGCGGAGCUGCCUGGGAGGGACUCCCCGCACUCCCGCGCUCCGGCUCCCGCGGCGCUGCCUCAGCUUCUCGGUUGUUUCCUGCUCAUUCAUUCGCUUUUUACAAGCUCCAGAUCUCCUGGUGCUGCUGCUCUACCAACUCUUUUUCUCCCCGAGUUUAAAGCGCCACGAGCACGCGUUUUGCAUGUGGGGGGUAGGGUGAGCCGUGUUUGCCUUCGGGGCUGUUUCAAAUCGUUUGAGGAGGGGAAAGCCCGCCCUUUCCUCCAGCACCCGGCCUCGGGUUCCAGACCGACAAAAACGGAGAAGCCUUCGCCCUAGAGAAGACCGAGAGCUGCAAAGCUCUCGCUCCCCUGGGACCGGCGGAAGGAAGCUAAGGGCUGGGAGGCAACCCCGCUGCAAUUUCUAACCCUCAAAAAGUGAAAAACCCGAACCCCAAAGGGGAUUUUCACAGGCUGGCCCCUCCCCUUUCCCCACCUCUGUUCCGGCGCCGAGGUCCAGCUGGGGAUUUGCCCGCGCCACUCUCGCCCCUUCUCCCGGGCGGGCGGGCUGAGUGAGGGAUCCCAGCCGGGUCCUCACUCCCGCCCCCUCCCCUCCCCCCAGGAUCCAGGCAGCUGUGAUGUCCUUGCUGUCGCCGCCCCAGUCCGCCGCGCACCAGCUCUGGGGGUGCCGGCCGCGCGCAGCUGCCCGAUUUCUCCUCGCUUCUUGGCUUCCAGGAGGGUCCAGCAGCCCAGGGCUAUGACUAAGGCGCUCACUUGAUCGCAGAGGUGGCGCGGAGCCCGGCGAGCCGAUGACGGACCCCUUCCUCCUGUCUUCAGUGCCUCAACGGAAGAUCCUCAAGGGCUGGAGAGAGAAGGGCUGCUGCUGGACACCCUCCCGGGGAGGCUGCUCCCACCUGCCGCUCGUGGUGUACGAGACUGGGGACUGAGCGAGCCCCAGCCGUCGCUGCCGUCGGUCGGACCGGCCCCCGCCCCGCUCUGCUCGGCCCGCCUCCCGGCCCGGCUCGGCCCGGCCCGGCCCGUCCC